UAGGGAAUCUUCCACAAUGGACGAAAGUCUGAUGGAGCAACGCCGCGUGAGUGAUGAAGGGUUUCGGCUCGUAAAACUCUGUUGUUGGAGAAGAACAGGUGUCAGAGUAACUGUUGACAUCUUGACGGUAUCCAACCAGAAAGCCACGGCUAACUACGUGCCAGCAGCCGCGGUAAUACGUAGGUGGCAAGCGUUGUCCGGAUUUAUUGGGCGUAAAGCGAGCGCAGGCGGUUUCUUAGGUCUGAUGUGAAAGCCUUCGGCUUAACCGGAGAAGUGCAUCGGAAACCAGGAGACUUGAGUGCAGAAGAGGACAGUGGAACUCCAUGUGUAGCGGUGAAAUGCGUAGAUAUAUGGAAGAACACCAGUGGCGAAGGCGGCUGUCUGGUCUGUAACUGACGCUGAGGCUCGAAAGCAUGGGUAGCGAACAGGAUUAGAUACCCUGGUAGUCCAUGCCGUAAACGAUGAGUGCUAAGUGUUGGAGGGUUUCCGCCCUUCAGUGCUGCAGCUAACGCAUUAAGCACUCCGCCUGGGGGAGUACGACCGCAAGGUUGAAACUCUAAAG
rnacentral:rRNA from 1 species